GGCUGAGUGAGUUGUGUAAUGGUAACACCGCUGUGCUAAUUUCCGGAGUACAGUAUAGAUUACCGCAGAUGACGUGGGUUCGAAUCCCAUCUCAGCCA